UUCUCUGUACUGUGCACUUGUUGACAAGA
rnacentral:piRNA from 1 species